CUCCGGGCUCCGCCCCUGGUCUCUCCCUCCCCGUCUCGCUCCAUCCUGAUUGGCCAGAUUUGAAUUAGAGCAGGGCGCGCGGGGGGUGCUGGGAAGCGCGAGGGAACGUUCAAACCGAACCUUGGGGGCAAGAGUUGGCGCGGCGGCGUCGCGGACGAAGCGGAGCGAAACGGCGCGGCGAGAUGAAGGCGGCGGCUAGAACUAAAACACCUAGAAAGCAAGUGCCAAAGAAGACAUCAAACAACUUAAAAGACCCUGUUGGGGUGUACUGCCGACUGCGCCCAGUCAGUGUGCCAGACCAAGAAUGCUGCAUAGAAGUAAUCAGUAGCACGACAGUCCAGCUUCAUCCACCUGAUGGAUACCGCAUCAUCCGCAAUGGGGAGUAUAGAGAGGUUCAGUAUUCAUUUAAAGAAGUGUUUGGAACAAACGUUGCUCAGAGACGGGUUUUUGAUGUGGUUGCCAAACCCCUGUUGGAAGACCUUAUCCAUGGAAGAAAUGGUCUCCUCUUUACAUAUGGCGUUACAGGGAGUGGGAAAACCCACACGAUGACAGGCUCCCCUGGGGACGGAGGGCUGCUUCCUCGCUGCUUAGACACGAUAUUCAACAGCAUAAGACCUCUUCAGGCCAAGCGCUACGUUUUUAAGCUUGAUGAUAAGAAUGGAGUUGAGGUGCAGUGCGAGGUGGAUGCUUUACUCGAGCGCCAGAAAAGAGACACUCUGCCCUUUGCAAAAACGCCAAGUGGCAACAGGUGGCAAGUAGACCCUGAAAUUGCAGAUAUGAUCAAUGUGCAAGACAACUGUAAGCUGGAAGAAGUGGAUGAAGAUAACGUUUACAGUGUGUUCGUCUCUUACAUCGAGAUCUACAACAACUACAUUUAUGAUCUUUUGGAUGAAACCCCCUUGGAUCCAAUCAAGCCCAAGUGGAACAGCUGUGGCACUCCAGUGCGGAGCGUUGACUUUGUGGCUCCCCAGUCCAAAAUUCUCCGAGAAGACCAGAACCACAAUAUGUAUGUGGCUGCGUGCACAGAAAUAGAGGUCAAAUCCACGGAAGAAGCUUUCGAAGUCUUCUGGAGAGGGCAGAAGAAGCGGCGUGUUGCAGACACUCAGCUCAACCAUGAAUCUAGCCGUUCGCAUAGCGUGUUCCUCAUCAAGCUGGCCCAGGCUCCACUGGAUGCAGACGGGGACAACGUUCUACAGGACCGAGAACUAAUCACCUUGAGCCAACUGUCUUUGGUUGACCUGGCCGGAAGUGAAAGAACAAACCGAACCAAAGCGGAAGGGAACAGACUGCGUGAAGCAGGCAAUAUUAACCAAUCACUGAUGACACUAAGAACCUGUAUUGAAGCUCUGCGAGAGAAUCAGGCCUACGGUACCAACAAGAUGGUCCCAUAUAGAGACUCGAAACUGACCCAUCUCUUCAAGAACUACUUUGAUGGCGAAGGAAAAGUGCGCAUGAUUGUCUGCGUAAAUCCAAAGGCUGAAGACUACGACGAGAGCUUGCAAGUCAUGCGGUUCGCAGAGAUUACGCAGGAGGUCGAGGUGGCAAGACCGGCUGACAAGCCACUGUGUGGGCUGACCCCCGGCCGGCGGUUCAAGAACCAGGCUUUCAAGGAGGAGCUUUCACGGCAGCUGGAAAUCCGAGGUGGACCCAUCGGUGGAGAAAGAGAGCGCUCCCUCACAGAGCUGCUCGUGCAGAGCUUCCCUCCCCUGCCUUGCUGUGAACUUCUGGACAUUGACGACGACCAGACCCUUCCGCGGCUGAUCGAAGUGCUCGAGAAACGCCACCGCAUCCGCAAGGCGCUGACGGAAGAGUUCACCAAAAACGUGCUUGCUGUGAAGAGCAUGCUGCAAGAAAUGGAUGCCAGCAUGGUCUCCAAAGAAAACUACACGCAAGUGAAAAUGACUGAAAAGGACAAAGUCAUAUCAGGGCAGAGGACGGAGAUUGAGCGGCUGGAGAAGAAAGCGAAAACACUGGAGUACAAGAUUGACAUCUUGGAGAAGACGACAGCCAUCUAUGAAGAAGAGAAGCGCAACCUCCACCAGGAGCUGGAGAACAAGAGCCAGAAGCUGCAGCGCCAGGUUUCGGACAAGCGGCGCCUGGAAGUCCGGCUGCAGGGCAUGGUGACGGAGACCACCAUGAAGUGGGAGAAGGAGUGUGAGCGACGGGUGGCAGCCAAGCAGCUUGAGAUGCAGAACAAGCUCUGGGUGAAAGACGAGAAACUGAAGCAGCUGAAAGCCAUUGUCACAGAGCCCAAGAGCAGCAAGCCAGAGAGGCCUUCUCGGGAAAAGGACAGGGAGAAGGUCUUGCCCAGGUCGCUCUCUCCGCCUCCUGUCCCUUUUUCUAGUAACUGUGUCACUCCGCUCCCUAACCACCACCACCACCUGCCAGCCACAAACCAGCCACAGCUGCACAGGCGUUCCAACUCGUGCAGCAGCAUUUCCGUGGCCUCCUGCGUCUCGGAAUGGGAGCAGAGGACACCCACGCGCGGCGGCAGCAAGUGCCCUGGUGGCGGAGGCGGCAUGUCCCGAGUCAGGAGUAGGCAGCAGGAGCCAGAGCGAGCCAGGCCCGGUGUCCUGUCAGAGCGGAGGCGGGGCAUGUGCUGGAGCGGAGCCGCCGUGGAGGUCCCUAGCGGUAGAGAGGCGCUAGAGGGAGAAGAGGACCCUUGUUGCAGGAACGCUCCGCCAAUCCGUCUCCGGCACAGGCGCUCUCGCUCAGCUGGGGAGAGAUGGGUGGACCACAAGCCACCCUCCAACGUCCAGACUGAAACGGUCAUGCAGCCCCACGUCCCCCACGCCAUCACGGUGGCGGCUGCCAACGAAAAGGCGCUGGCCAAGUGUGACAAGUACAUGCUGACCCAUCAGGAGCUGGCCUCUGACGGGGAGAUCGAGACGAAGCUGAUCAAGGGAGAUGUGUUCAAGACCAGAGGUGGUGGCCAGGCUGUCCAGUUCACGGAGAUAGAAACCCUGAAGCAAGAAUCUCCAACUGGUCGCAAGCGGCGCUCUUCUCCCUCCAGCCCUCUGCCCCCCGAAGAGGCAACGGAGUCCGAAUGGACAGAUGUGGAAACGAGAUGUUCCGUUGCAGUGGAGAUGAAGGCCGGCUCUCAUCUCGGCCCGGGUUACCAGCACCACGCUCAGCCCAACUAGGUGCCGGAUCCUGCCGUGGAAGUGAUAUCUGUUCAGCUCGGGGGAAGAGCACUGGCAGUCUGGCAAGGCAUGUUGAGAGGCAGGAAAGAGGGCACUGGAGGCGUAGAAAACCUUGAGCCUCUGGGAUUCCUGUUUGUCGAAGGGAUUGUGGCAGGCUCCAGAGCUGGCUAUGGAAGGCAGUGCCUGAAGGGAAACCUCUGCAAUAAAAGUACUUUUUUGCUUUUUCUGGCCCUGUCCUGCAUUGUGCUGCUGAGGAAGACGGCCUUCUCUCCCCUCUGGACUGUCCUCUUCUAAGGCCGCCUCUCUUCUGAAGAGGGCCUCCCCAGCACGUUCUGGCCCUGUUUUUACUCACAUCGUGCGACAUUCUUUCUUUCCUUGGGCCUUCCACAUUUGUUCAAGGGAUUUUGUAUUAAAAAUGUGCUGCUAUUUAUUUAGCUGCCCUAAUGCACUUUAGAAGAAUUUGGUUUAGACUGGUAGUCCUGAUUCGCAACAGCUCCUUCCUCCUGAACCAGGUGCAUCCACGUACCUGCAGACAGGUGGGCUGGGUAGUCUUGUCUCCUGCAGAGCGGAGGGAACUUUACGGGUUGGCUGUCCUAUCUGUUGUUUGUCAGCUAUGCAUGGUCUUAAUGUGCCGGGAGGAUUCGUCAGCUGGGUAGUGAGAUGGCUAUACUCCUGUGUGAGAUUUUUUGAACUUGCAAAUAAAAACUUCACUUGUGGUCAA